rnacentral:rRNA from 1 species
UACAGGGGGUGCAAACGUUGCUCGGAAUCAUUGGGCGUAAAGCGCACGUAGGCGGUUCGUUAUGUCGGAUGUGAAAGCCCUUGGCUUAACCGAGGAAGUGCAUCCGAAACUGGCGAGCUAGAGUACGAAAGAGGAUCGCGGAAUUCCCGGUGUAGAGGUGAAAUUCGUAGAUAUCGGGAGGAACACCGGUGGCGAAGGCGGCGAUCUGGGUCGAUACUGACGCUGAGACUCGAAAGCGUGGGGAGCAAACAGG